rnacentral:rRNA from 1 species
CCAAUAGCGUAUAUUAAAGUUGCUGCAGUUAAAAAGCUCGUAGUUGAAUUUCGGGACUAAUAUGUCGGUCGUGCCUCGGUACGUACUGGUAUUUUGGUUUCUCCCCUCUGACGAACCUUGAUGUCAUUAAUUUGGUGGCUUGGGGAAUCAGGACUGUUACUUUGAAAAAAUUAGAGUGUUUAAAGCAGGCUCACGCUUGAAUACAUUAGCAUGGAAUAAUGAAAUAGGACGUUUGAUUCUAUUUUGUUGGUUUCUAGGAUCGACGUAAUGAUUAAUAGGGAUAGUUGGGGGCAUUAGUAUUCAAUUGUCAGAGGUGAAAUUCUUGGAUUUAUUGAAGACUAACUACUGCGAAAGCAUUUGCCAAGGAUGUUUUCAUUAAUCAAGAACGAAAGUUAGGGGAUCGAAGACGAUCAGAUACCGUCGUAGUCUUAACCAUAAACUAUGCCGACUAGGGAUCGGAUGAUGUUAAUUUUUUAAUGACUCAUUCGGCGCCUUACG